GCCGCCUUCGUCUAGUUUGGUCUAGGACGUCGGGUUCUCAUCCCGAAAAUCAUGGGUUCAAAUCCCGUAGGCGGCG
rnacentral:tRNA from 1 species